AUGUCCAGAGCGGGAGGCAAGUUGAUGGCCUCCUCCGUCACGGAGGGGCAUAUCCAGAAGCUACGCAGCGCCGGAUACUUGUCCAGCGACAUCGCGCAUCGGCUCCCCGAAGAGGGAGAGCUCAUCCGCACCCCUAGGCCCCAUGAGAGGGUAGUAUUCCUUCCCCAUUUCCUCUGCGGACUAGGCUUCCCACUUCAUCCCUUUGUCCGGGGGCUCAUGUUCUACUACGGCCUAGAUUUCCAUGAUCUGGCCCCGAAUUUUAUUCUCAACAUCUCGGCGUUUAUCGUCGUGUGCGAGGGCUUCCUCUGCAUCCAGCCCCACUUCGGCUUGGGGCUCAAGACCUUCAGUGUCAAGCCGAAGGUUGUGAAGGGCAGCCAAGCGGAGUGCGGAGGCGCCAUGGUGGGCAGGAUGUCCCACGUUACGUGGCUGGAGGGCAUCUUUUUGGAAACCAUCAAGGGGUGGCAAUCGGGGUGGUUCUACAUCACCGAGCCGCGUGAUCCCGAAUGGGCAGCGACCCCCGAAUUCAGAUCCGGCAUCCCCACACGGCUCACCUCCUGGAAAGAGAGCGGCCGGAUUUGGGGCGAUCCAGAGGAGCUGACCGGACUCCAAGCCUACAUCCAAAAGCUGGUGGACAAGAAGCUCAAGCUUGUCAACAUAGUCCAGGUCAUGCUCAUCCGCCAGAUUCUCCCGUGCCAACGACGGGGCUUCAAUAUGUGGGAGUUCGAUCCGGCGCAGCACCAGACUUUGAAUGGGCUCUUCGACAAUACGUACGAAGAGGUCUGGAAGGUGCUGUUCAAAGGCGCCGAGGCUCCCGCAUCCGCUACCGAAGAUCGCGGAUUCAGCUCACAGCGUCCAGCUGACGAGGACUGGCUGAAGGAGGCCGCACAGCCUAUCUGUCCGGCCCCAUUGCCAGAGGACACAGCUGACGCCCGCCUGACGGGGCUGCUGGCUCCGGCACCCCACGUGGUGCCGGAGAAGAAGGCCAAGAAGAAGGCCACGGGGACUCGUAAGAGUUCCCGUUUUCAGGUGCUAUCGGAUGAUGAAUCCGAGGCCGACUCCUCCCACCAAGGCGAGGAGGAGAAGAAGAAAGCCUCUCCCCCAGCAGGGGGAGGGAAGAAAAGGAAGGCCUCCCCAACAAGGGAGGCCAAAGGGUCCAAGAGGGGAAAAACUCUUCCCUUGGACUGUUCCGCCAACGCCAGUGACGACGACGAGGACUGGCCUCCAAGGGCCAAGCCUCUGGCGAGAUCAGUCCGCCUAAGGAUGAUCUCCCCACUUCGUCGAGCGGGUCCUUAG
rnacentral:rRNA from 1 species